AGAAAUCAGUGGGAAAUUGAAGUCCAGAUUCAUGGUUCCCAGUCACGAUGUGUGAUAUUGGGUCUCUUCAUACAUUAUAUUACCUUCCUGGACUUUUUCUGAGUUUGGGAUCCCUGCAGUGGAGAGCUCGGGGAUGGGUAGCAGGGAGGAUCCAUAUCAGUUUUUUGAUGUUCUUUUUAAGAAAAAAAGAAAAACCAUGGCAGAAAGAAGAGGAAGAGAAAGGAAAUUUCACAACUGUGGAAGGUGGCAGAGGCCAGUAUCGGAGAGUGACGAUCAAGCGUAAGGUGCCUCCUGGACUAACGGUAGCUGGAGAAGCGUGUACCAUCUAUGAGGAUGCUGACAAUUCUGACCUGUAGGACAGUCAGGUUACAAAAAGGAAGGUUACCUUGAUUACUGAUAUGGAACUACCUGAGUGUCUGCUGAUGUGGGGCCCAGCUGUCCUGGCAGAGAUUUUUCCAGCAUGGAGAGCCUCGAAACCACAGAUGCAGGCAAGUCUGUGCUGAAGAACCUGACAAGAGGGGACAGCAGAGGCCGCUUUCCAUAGAGCUAUAUAGCUUAGCAUAGAAAGAUAGAUCCAGAGUUGAAAAUUCUGAAUUAGAUCCAGUUGGAAAGUCUAGAUUAUUACCCAGUUUCAUCUCUUCUAAGUUUUCUACAAUGCGUUGAUAAUUGGUGUCUCUGCCUUACUAUUUCUUGAGCUGGGAAGAAGC
rnacentral:lncRNA from 1 species